ACAGGCUCCUAUCGAAGCCGUUUGUGCUCUUAAUGUAGCAGCGAACGGUCAACAGGAAGCCGAGAUGAAGACUUUCACCGACGGUCGCUGUUCAGUUUGAAAAUAACUGCUCCAGCAACAUUUAGGGGAAGGACAUUU